AGGCAGCAGUAGGGAAUCUUCCGCAAUGGGCGAAAGCCUGACGGAGCAACGCCGCGUGAGUGAUGAAGGUCUUCGGAUCGUAAAACUCUGUUAUUAGGGAAGAACAUAUGUGUAAGUAACUGUGCACAUCUUGACGGUACCUAAUCAGAAAGCCACGGCUAACUACGUGCCAGCAGCCGCGGUAAUACGUAGGUGGCAAGCGUUAUCCGGAAUUAUUGGGCGUAAAGCGCGCGUAGGCGGUUUUUUAAGUCUGAUGUGAAAGCCCACGGCUCAACCGUGGAGGGUCUUUGGAAACUGGAAAACUUGAGUGCAGAAGAGGAAAGUGGAAUUCCAUGUGUAGCGGUGAAAUGCGCAGAGAUAUGGAGGAACACCAGUGGCGAAGGCGACUUUCUGGUCUGUAACUGACGCUGAUGUGCGAAAGCGUGGGGAUCAAACAGGAUUAGAUACCCUGGUAGUCCACGCCGUAAACGAUGAGUGCUAAGUGUUAGGGGGUUUCCGCCCCUUAGUGCUGCAGCUAACGCAUUAAGCACUCCGCCUGGGGAGUACGACCGCAAGGUGAAACUCAAAGGAAUUGACGGC
rnacentral:rRNA from 1 species